rnacentral:rRNA from 1 species
UACGUAGGGGGCGAGCGUUGUCCGGAUUUAUUGGGCGUAAAGAGCGUGUAGGCGGUUCGGUAAGUCUGUCGUGAAAUCCUGAGGCUCAACCUCGGGCGUGCGAUGGAUACUGCCGGGCUAGAGGAUGGUAGAGGCGAGUGGAAUUCCCGGUGUAGCGGUGAAAUGCGCAGAUAUCGGGAGGAACACCGGUGGCGAAGGCGGUUCUCUGGGCCUUACCUGACGCUGAGGAGCGAAAGCGUGGGGAGCGAACAGG